rnacentral:rRNA from 1 species
UCCUACGGGAGGCAGCAGUGGGGAAUUUUGGACAAUGGGCGAAAGCCUGAUCCAGCAAUGCCGCGUGUGUGAAGAAGGCCUUCGGGUUGUAAAGCACUUUUGUCCGGAAAGAAAUCCUUGGCUCUAAUACAGUCGGGGGAUGACGGUACCGGAAGAAUAAGCACCGGCUAACUACGUGCCAGCAGCCGCGGUAAUACGUAGGGUGCGAGCGUUAAUCGGAAUUACUGGGCGUAAAGCGUGCGCAGGCGGUUUGCUAAGACCGAUGUGAAAUCCCCGGGCUCAACCUGGGAACUGCAUUGGUGACUGGCAGGCUAGAGUAUGGCAGAGGGGGGUAGAAUUCCACGUGUAGCAGUGAAAUGCGUAGAGAUGUGGAGGAAUACCGAUGGCGAAGGCAGCCCCCUGGGCCAAUACUGACGCUCAUGCACGAAAGCGUGGGGAGCAAACAGGAUUAGAUACCCUGGUAGUCCACGCCCUAAACGAUGUCAACUAGUUGUUGGGGAUUCAUUUCCUUAGUAACGUAGCUAACGCGUGAAGUUGACCGCCUGGGGAGUACGGUCGCAAGAUUAAAACUCAAAGGAAUUGACGGGGACCCGCACAAGCGGUGGAUGAUGUGGAUUAAUUCGAUGCAACGCGAAAAACCUUACCUACCCUUGACAUGGUCGGAAUCCCGCUGAGAGGUGGGAGUGCUCGAAAGAGAACCGGCGCACAGGUGCUGCAUGGCUGUCGUCAGCUCGUGUCGUGAGAUGUUGGGUUAAGUCCCGCAACGAGCGCAACCCUUGUCCUUAGUUGCUACGCAAGAGCACUCUAAGGAGACUGCCGGUGACAAACCGGAGGAAGGUGGGGAUGACGUCAAGUCCUCAUGGCCCUUAUGGGUAGGGCUUCACACGUCAUACAAUGGUCGGAACAGAGGGUUGCCAACCCGCGAGGGGGAGCUAAUCCCAGAAAACCGAUCGUAGUCCGGAUUGCACUCUGCAACUCGAGUGCAUGAAGCUGGAAUCGCUAGUAAUCGCGGAUCAGCAUGCCGCGGAAAAUACGUUCCCGGGCCUUGUACACACCG